UACGGAGGGUGCGAGCGUUGUCCGGAAUCAUUGGGCGUAAAGGGCGCGUAGGUGGCGGGACAAGCGUGCGGUGAAAGCCUGGGGCUCAACCCCGGGUCGGCCGUGCGAACUGUUUUGCUUGAGCACUGUAGAGGCAGGCGGAAUUCCGGGUGUAGCGGUGGAAUGCGUAGAGAUCCGGAAGAACACCGGUGGCGAAGGCGGCCUGCUGGGCAGUUGCUGACACUGAGGCGCGACAGCGUGGGGGAGCAAACAGG
rnacentral:rRNA from 1 species